rnacentral:snRNA from 1 species
GGCAUUGAGGGAGAUCUGGCUUCAACAUCUGUAACCCCACUGAUCACCAGGGUUGAUUUAUCUGGUCUGGCUGGCUAGGCAGGUGACCCCUUCCUUCCUUACCCUCCAUGUCAUCCCUCCUGAAGCUGGACUCUCCAUUGAAGAGGGCCACCUUCCCCAAAUAGAGAAGGACUGGUCAAGGGCAUAUGAGUAGCUGGACUCCCCUGCUAGAACCUCCCUACAAGUUCUCAAAGAUGAGGAGAACAUGGUCCCAAAAGUAUUAAACCUGUUGAAAGAUGGCAGUAGAUAGCUG